rnacentral:misc_RNA from 1 species
UACGGAGGGUGCAAGCGUUAAUCGGAAUUACUGGGCGUAAAGCGCACGCAGGCGGUCUGUCAAGUCGGAUGUGAAAGCUCCGGGCUCAACCUGGGAAUUGCAGCCGAAACUGGCAGGCUAGAGUGUCGUAGAGGUAGGUAGAAUUGCAGGUGUAGCGGUGAAAUGCGUAGAGAUCUGGAGGAAUACCGGUGGCGAAGGCGGCCCCCUGGACAAAGACUGACGCUCAGGUGCGAAAGCGUGGGGAGCAAACAGG